rnacentral:lncRNA from 1 species
AAGCACACAAAGUUUUAAUUACUAAGUCAGCCCAAAUCCUAGGUCAAGAUGCAACUUAAGUUGAAGUCAUUAAGUUUCCGUUAGAGAGUUGUAAGGCUAAUUUAUACUUGGGUGCUCGGUGAUAUCUGGACCAUACACAAGCUAAGGCUUUAGAUUCUCCAAAAUACUGCUAAAACUAGUAGUUUCCAAGAAUUGGUCA